rnacentral:rRNA from 1 species
GAUGAACGCUGGCGGCGUGCCUAAUACAUGCAAGUCGAGCGAACGGACGAGAAGCUUGCUUCUCUGAUGUUAGCGGCGGACGGGUGAGUAACACGUGGAUAACCUACCUAUAAGACUGGGAUAACUUCGGGAAACCGGAGCUAAUACCGGAUAAUAUUUUGAACCGCAUGGUUCAAAAGUGAAAGACGGUCUUGCUGUCACUUCUAGCUGGAUCCGCGCUGCAUUAGCUAGUUGGUAAGGUAACGGCUUACCAAGGCAACGAUGCAUAGCCGACCUGAGAGGGUGAUCGGCCACACUGGAACUGAGACACGGUCCAGACUCCUACGGGAGGCAGCAGUAGGGAAUCUUCCGCAAUGGGCGAAAGCCUGACGGAGCAACGCCGCGUGAGUGAUGAAGGUCUUCGGAUCGUAAAACUCUGUUAUUAGGGAAGAACAUAUGUGUAAGUAACUGUGCACAUCUUGACGGUACCUAAUCAGAAAGCCACGGCUAACUACGUG